UUCCGUAGGUGAACCUGCGGAAGGAU
rnacentral:ncRNA from 10 species